rnacentral:misc_RNA from 1 species
GGAAGGAUCAUUACCGAUUUAUAGCGAUCCUCGCGUUUUUAGCGGGGUUCGCGUUCGUAUUUAAAACAACCCACUCUUGUAAAAUUAUAUGUUUUUUAUUACAUGAAAUAAAGAUCACUUUCAACAACGGAUCUCUUGGCUCUCGCAUCGAUGAAGAACGUAGCGAAGUGCGAUAAGUAAUGUGAAUUGCAGAAUUCCGUGAAUCAUCGAAUUUUUGAACGCAAAUUGCACUCUCCGGUUUUCCAGGAGAGUAUGCCUGUUUGAGGGUCUGUUUAAAAAAUAAUCGAGGCUGCUGCUGUGAUUUUUUUACGGUGGUGCUUCGGAAUUGGGUCAUCUUUUUCUACCUUUUGGGUUGUAAGCGACCUAAAAUUUUUUUUUUACGAUUUCCACGAACGUGUCUAAGAUUUUUUUCUUGUACGUUUGCGAAUCGAAAUCCUACUGGAGGUGACCGCCGCGUCGGUCUCACCUCUAUAACAUACCAUCAAAGGACCUCAGACAGGUAAGAGUACCCGCUGAACUUAAGCAUAUCAAUAAGCGGAGGAAAAGAAAAUAACAAUGAUUCCCUUAGUAACGGCGAGUGAAGGGGGAAAAGCUCAAAUUUUAAAUCUGCCUGGUUCACCUGGCCGAGUUGUAAUUUGAAGAAGCGUUUUCCGCGUUCGGGUCGGCCCAAAUCCUUUGGGAUGAGGUAUCACGGAGGGUGAGAAUCCCGUACGGUUGACCUCAGGACGCCUUUACGAUACGCUCUCAAAGAGUCGAGUUGUUUGGGAUUGCAGCUCAAAAUGGGAGGUAAAUUUCUCCUAAGGCUAAAUACCGGCGAGAGACCGAUAGCGAACAAGUACCGUGAGGGAAAGAUGAAAAGAACUUUGAAAAGAGAGUUAAAUAGUACGUGAAAUUGUUGAAAGGGAAACGAUUGAAGCCAGUCGUGCCUACGGGAAAUCAACCUUUCGAGCGGGGGAUCGUGGGUAACGGGGAGCCUCGCGGCCCUCGCUGCCUACGAUCCCCCCUGCUUCUGGGGCGUACUUCCCCGUGUGUAGGUCAGCAUCGAUUUCGCCCGCCACAAAAUGACCGGAGGAAUGUAGCUUCGAUCUCGCAUCGGAGUGUUAUAGCCUUUGGUAGAUGUGGUGGUUGGGACCGAGGAUUGCAGCGAAUACCCUCUGGGCUAUCCGUCUGACCUCUGGAAGUCGCUCGGGUGCCGAAAGCACGCUUACGGUCAUUCGAGUUGGCGGUCAAAAGGUUAGAACGCGAUUAAAUUCGCUAAGGAUGUUGACGUAAUGGCUUUAAACGACCCGUCUUGAAACACGGACCAAGGAGUCUAACAGGCGUGCGAGUGUUCGGGUGGUCAAACCCCUACGCGCAAUGAAAGUAAUUUAGGUGGGAUCGCUUUUUUUUGGCGAGCACCAUCGACCGAUCAGGAUAUUUUUUGAUAGAUUUGAGUAAGAGCAUACCUGUUAGGACCCGAAAGAUGGUGAACUAUGCCUGAAUAGGGCGAAGUCAGAGGAAACUCUGAUGGAGGCUCGCAGCGGUUCUGACGUGCAAAUCGAUCGUCAAAUUUGGGUAUAGGGGCGAAAGACUAAUCGAACCAUCUAGUAGCUGGUUCCUGC